CAUAACCUUCCCAAGCACCACCAGCAGCCAGGACCCAUGAGCCUGUGGGGAUACUUCAUGGCCAAUGCAGACCGUGGUUGGCAUCGGUUACUUUUCUGUCUCUGUGACUGGACACCUGACCUCCGGAAACUUAGUGCUUAUCUGUGUUUUAUCUGCCAACGUAUCUGACUUCACAACAUACGCAUGCCUGGCCCAUGUGGAGGAUGGACAGGGACCUGGAUCCCCUGGAACUGAAAUUACAGACAGCUGAUGAAGUGGGGAGCACGUGUACAUGGGUCGGCCCCUGCUGUCCAUCAAGAUGGACACAAGCUGGCAAUCUUCAGGAGCACACCCAUUCUAUAAGCUCAGCGAUGAAUGAAACCCAUGUAAAGGACUCGGGCUUCAUGCAUCCUCCGGGGCUCAACGCCUCAGCCUAACAUAGGGUAUAAGACACGUGCCCCAAGAAGGGUCCUGACUUUUCUCAGGGUUCCCUGUGAUUGAAGAAGGAAGGAAGAGUGGGUGAGAGACAGAGAGCUGGUUCCACAGACAGGUAGGGAUCACAUGGCAACUCCUCUCUGCCUACACUUCCCAGAAUCCUCCACAUCUCCUAGACCUGCCUGUCUUGCUGCUUAUUUGUCACAGUGUUUUAUUCGCCAACCAAUAAGAGAAACAUAUGUACAGAAGACAUAGUUUGCACAGAAGACAAACCAUUAUAGAUUAUAGUUUUCAUCCCUGGUUUUCAAAAGAAAGAAAGAAAGGAAGGAAGGAAGGAAGGAAGGAAGGAAGGAAGGAAGGAAGGAAGGGAGAUGAAGGGAGGGAGGGGUGGUGGAAGGAAGAUACCUUCCUUCUUCCUCAUCCUCCUUUUCCUCUCUCUCCUCCUUCUCCUCAUCCCUCUAGAGCCUGAACUCAGGACCUUGAGCCUAGCAAGCUUACUUUACCACUGAGCUAUAUGUGAACCCACUGUGUACAUUUUACAUAUAUUUGUGAAAAGUGAUGCAAUGAAGCAUGCAUUUUUCUAGCAGCUAUCUGGAUACUUUAAAGCUGUAUUUAUCUGGCUGUAAGUUAAUUUAUGUAUCCUGCUUUCAUACCGUGUUAAUGAAUUUUCACUGUUGGGCCCAGGUUGCUGUAAAGAAAACAGAAUCCUUGAAUAUCACAAAGCAAUCCAUUAGUUCUUGUCAUGAUGGUUUCAGAAAAAUAGUAAAUAUUUUGAAAGCCAUUCAGUUUCAAGUUUGGAUAUAUAUUUCUAUUUUGUGAAUAUUUGUUUUGCUUUUUUACUGACUUGAAAGUCAGGCUUACAUAAAUAUUGGAUCUUUUCUGGGGAAUUUCACACUGUCCAUUCCAUGAUGAUGGUGGUAACUAGUUGCCAUGGAGAUGAUUUCCAAAUUCCAUUUAGGUUUGUGAUUUCUAUUACAAAAUGAGCAUCAAAAAUAAAUGAAUUUUUCAUAACACCCUUCAGUGUCAAAGCCAACCUUUAAACUGAUCUCAUUGCAUUAUCAUUGGAAUUAUCUAGAUAUAAUUACUUGUGCUGGUAAUGAAAAGUUGCUGGAUAUUAAUACUUACUCUUAUCUGUGUGGAAUGAAUAAUUAGAAAAGUUGUUGGACAUAUUCAGCAUUAAAAAUCUCAAUUCUUUCCAGGGAGAACGAUCUAGAAGAUUAGUACCUGGAGUGUGGUAGUUAGAAUGUAAUUGGCCCCCAUAAUCUCAUUGGGAGUAGCACUAUUAGGAGGUAUGGCUUUGUUGGUGUGGGUAUGGCCUAAUUGGAGGAUGUGUGUCACUGUGGAGGUGGGCUUUGAGAGUUACUAUGAUCAGGAUACUUCCCAG
ensembl:lncRNA